rnacentral:rRNA from 1 species
GGUUAAGCGACUAAGCGUACACGGUGGAUGCCCUGGCAGUCAGAGGCGAUGAAGGACGUGCUAAUCUGCGAUAAGCGUCGGUAAGGUGAUAUGAACCGUUAUAACCGGCGAUUUCCGAAUGGGGAAACCCAGUGUGAUUCGUCACACUAUCAUUAACUGAAUCCAUAGGUUAAUGAGGCGAACCGGGGGAACUGAAACAUCUAAGUACCCCGAGGAAAAGAAAUCAACCGAGAUUCCCCCAGUAGCGGCGAGCGAACGGGGAGCAGCCCAGAGCCUGAAUCAGUGUGUGUGUUAGUGGAAGCGUCUGGAAAGGCGUGCGAUACAGGGUGACAGCCCCGUACACAAAAAUGCACAUACUGUGAGCUCGAUGAGUAGGGCGGGACACGUGGUAUCCUGUCUGAAUAUGGGGGGACCAUCCUCCAAGGCUAAAUACUCCUGACUGACCGAUAGUGAACCAGUACCGUGAGGGAAAGGCGAAAAGAACCCCGGCGAGGGGAGUGAAAAAGAACCUGAAACCGUGUACGUACAAGCAGUGGGAGCACAGAGCAAUCUGUGUGACUGCGUACCUUUUGUAUAAUGGGUCAGCGACUUAUAUUCUGUAGCAAGGUUAACCGAAUAGGGGAGCCGAAGGGAAACCGAGUCUUAACUGGGCGUUAAGUUGCAGGGUAUAGACCCGAAACCCGGUGAUCUAGCCAUGGGCAGGUUGAAGGUUGGGUAACACUAACUGGAGGACCGAACCGACUAAUGUUGAAAAAUUAGCGGAUGACUUGUGGCUGGGGGUGAAAGGCCAAUCAAACCGGGAGAUAGCUGGUUCUCCCCGAAAGCUAUUUAGGUAGCGCCUCGUGAAUUCAUCUCCGGGGGUAGAGCACUGUUUCGGCAAGGGGGUCAUCCCGACUUACCAACCCGAUGCAAACUGCGAAUACCGGAGAAUGUUAUCACGGGAGACACACGGCGGGUGCUAACGUCCGUCGUGAAGAGGGAAACAACCCAGACCGCCAGCUAAGGUCCCAAAGUCAUGGUUAAGUGGGAAACGAUGUGGGAAGGCCCAGACAGCCAGGAUGUUGGCUUAGAAGCAGCCAUCAUUUAAAGAAAGCGUAAUAGCUCACUGGUCGAGUCGGCCUGCGCGGAAGAUGUAACGGGGCUAAACCAUGCACCGAAGCUGCGGCAGCGACGCUUAUGCGUUGUUGGGUAGGGGAGCGUUCUGUAAGCCUGCGAAGGUGUGCUGUGAGGCAUGCUGGAGGUAUCAGAAGUGCGAAUGCUGACAUAAGUAACGAUAAAGCGGGUGAAAAGCCCGCUCGCCGGAAGACCAAGGGUUCCUGUCCAACGUUAAUCGGGGCAGGGUGAGUCGACCCCUAAGGCGAGGCCGAAAGGCGUAGUCGAUGGGAAACAGGUUAAUAUUCCUGUACUUGGUGUUACUGCGAAGGGGGGACGGAGAAGGCUAUGUUGGCCGGGCGACGGUUGUCCCGGUUUAAGCGUGUAGGCUGGUUUUCCAGGCAAAUCCGGAAAAUCAAGGCUGAGGCGUGAUGACGAGGCACUACGGUGCUGAAGCAACAAAUGCCCUGCUUCCAGGAAAAGCCUCUAAGCAUCAGGUAACAUCAAAUCGUACCCCAAACCGACACAGGUGGUCAGGUAGAGAAUACCAAGGCGCUUGAGAGAACUCGGGUGAAGGAACUAGGCAAAAUGGUGCCGUAACUUCGGGAGAAGGCACGCUGAUAUGUAGGUGAAGUCCCUCGCGGAUGGAGCUGAAAUCAGUCGAAGAUACCAGCUGGCUGCAACUGUUUAUUAAAAACACAGCACUGUGCAAACACGAAAGUGGACGUAUACGGUGUGACGCCUGCCCGGUGCCGGAAGGUUAAUUGAUGGGGUUAGCGCAAGCGAAGCUCUUGAUCGAAGCCCCGGUAAACGGCGGCCGUAACUAUAACGGUCCUAAGGUAGCGAAAUUCCUUGUCGGGUAAGUUCCGACCUGCACGAAUGGCGUAAUGAUGGCCAGGCUGUCUCCACCCGAGACUCAGUGAAAUUGAACUCGCUGUGAAGAUGCAGUGUACCCGCGGCAAGACGGAAAGACCCCGUGAACCUUUACUAUAGCUUGACACUGAACAUUGAGCCUUGAUGUGUAGGAUAGGUGGGAGGCUUGGAAGUGUGGACGCCAGUCUGCAUGGAGCCGACCUUGAAAUACCACCCUUUAAUGUUUGAUGUUCUAACGUUGACCCGUAAUCCGGGUUGCGGACAGUGUCUGGUGGGUAGUUUGACUGGGGCGGUCUCCUCCUAAAGAGUAACGGAGGAGCACGAAGGUUGGCUAAUCCUGGUCGGACAUCAGGAGGUUAGUGCAAUGGCAUAAGCCAGCUUGACUGCGAGCGUGACGGCGCGAGCAGGUGCGAAAGCAGGUCAUAGUGAUCCGGUGGUUCUGAAUGGAAGGGCCAUCGCUCAACGGAUAAAAGGUACUCCGGGGAUAACAGGCUGAUACCGCCCAAGAGUUCAUAUCGACGGCGGUGUUUGGCACCUCGAUGUCGGCUCAUCACAUCCUGGGGCUGAAGUAGGUCCCAAGGGUAUGGCUGUUCGCCAUUUAAAGUGGUACGCGAGCUGGGUUUAGAACGUCGUGAGACAGUUCGGUCCCUAUCUGCCGUGGGCGCUGGAGAACUGAGGGGGGCUGCUCCUAGUACGAGAGGACCGGAGUGGACGCAUCACUGGUGUUCGGGUUGUCAUGCCAAUGGCACUGCCCGGUAGCUAAAUGCGGAAGAGAUAAGUGCUGAAAGCAUCUAAGCACGAAACUUGCCCCGAGAUGAGUUCUCCCUGACUCCUUGAGAGUCCUGAAGGAACGUUGAAGACGACGACGUUGAUAGGCCGGGUGUGUAAGCGCAGCGAUGCGUUGAGCUAACCGGUACUAAUGAACCGUGAGGCUUAACCUU